rnacentral:rRNA from 1 species
UCUUGGUCAUUUAGAGGAAGUAAAAGUCGUAACAAGGUUUCCGUAGGUGAACCUGCGGAAGGAUCAUUAAUGAAAUGUUUGUCGAGAAGGGUUGUAGCUGGCCUCCAGGGGCAUGUGCACACCCUGAUCACAUCCACCUCCCACACCUGUGCACCGCCUGUAGCUUGGGAUGAUCACGGAGCCCUGAUGGGCAACGAAUGCCCUCGUCUAUGAAUAUUUUCACACACGCUCAAAGUAUGACAGAAUGUAUAUCAUAUUGCGUCUGAUAAACGUGACAAAUACAACUUUCAACAACGGAUCUCUUGGCUCUCGCAUCGAUGAAGAACGCAGCGAAAUGCGAUAAGUAAUGUGAAUUGCAGAAUUCASUGAAUCAUCGAAUCUUUGAACGCACCUUGCGCUCCUUGGUAUUCCGAGGAGCAUGCCUGUUUGAGUGUCAUGAAAUUCUCAACUGCCCCAGGCUUUGUGGCCUGCAGGYGAAGUUGGACUUGGAGGUAUGCUGGCGCCAUGAAUGGGCUUUGUGCCCUGCCUUGCUUGUUGGCUCCUCUCGAAUGCAUGAGCUUUCCAAUCCUUGGCAAAGUAUCGUCGAUGUGAUAAUUGUCUACGUCGCCCGAGAAAGCCGAAAAGGGGAAAUCUUUGAUCACGCUGGGGUGACCCGUGUCUGACAAAUUCGACCUCAAAUCAGGUAGGACUACCCGCUGAACUUAAGCAUAUCAUA